rnacentral:rRNA from 1 species
UACGAAGGGGGCUAGCGUUGCUCGGAAUCACUGGGCGUAAAGCGCACGUUAGGCGGCUUCUCAAGUCAGGGGUGAAAUCCUGGAGCUCAACUCCAGAACUGCCUUUGAUACUGAGGGGCUCGAGUCCGGGAGAGGUGAGUGGAACUGCGAGUGUAGAGGUGAAAUUCGUAGAUAUUCGCAAGAACACCAGUGGCGAAGGCGGCUCACUGGCCCGGUACUGACGCUGAGGUGCGAAAGCGUGGGGAGCAACA